rnacentral:rRNA from 1 species
UAGCGGAGGAAAAGAAACCAACAGGGAUUGCCUCAGUAGCGGCGAGUGAAGCGGCAAGAGCUCAGAUUUGAAAUCUCACCUAGUGUGCGAGUUGUAAAUUGCAGGUUGGAGUCUCGGGUUAGACGUGUGUGCAAGUCCCUUGGAACAGGGCGCCACUGAGGGUGAGAGCCCCGUAGCGUSCAUGUCGACACCUGUGAGGCCCUUCUGACGAGUCGAGUUGUURGGGAAUGCAGCUCUAAGUGGGUGGUAAAUUCCAUCUAAGGCUAAAUAUUGGCGAGAGACCGAUAGCGAACAAGUACUGUGAAGGAAAGAUGAAAAGCACUUUGAAAAGAGAGUGAAACAGCACGUGAAAUUGUUGAAAGGGAAGGGUAUUGGGCUCGACAUGGGAUUUACGCAUCGUUGCCUCURGUGGGCGGCGCUCUGGGUUUUUCCUGGGCCAGCAUCGGUUUUCGUUGCAGGAUAAGGACAAUUGGAAUGUGGCUCCUCGGAGUGUUAUAGCCUUUUGUAGAUGCUGCGUAUGGGGACCGAGGGCUGCGGCGGACUUGUU